AGUAAAUAGAUACCCUGGUAGUCCACGCUGUAAACGAUGAGUGCUAGGUGUAGGUGGGCUCAUACCCAUCUGUGCCGAAGCUAACGCAUUAAGCACUCCGCCUGGGGAGUACGGUCGCAAGACUGAAACUCAAAGGAAUUGACGGGGGCCCGCACAAGCAGUGGAGCAUGUGGUUUAAUUCGAAGCAACGCGAAGAACCUUACCAGGACUUGACAUCCCAUAGACCAGUCUAGAGAUAGACUUUCCCUUCGGGGCUGUGGUGACAGGUGGUGCAUGGUUGUCGUCAGCUCGUGUCGUGAGAUGUUGGGUUAAGUCCCGCAACGAGCGCAACCCUUACUUUGUGUUGCCAGCAUUCAGUUGGGCACUCACAAGGGACUGCCGCCGAUAAGGCGGAGGAAGGUGGGGAUGACGUCAAAUCAUCAUGCCCCUUAUGUCCUGGGCUACACACGUGCUACAAUGGGCGGUACAACGGGAUGCGAAGCCGCGAGGUGGAGCCAAACCCUGAAAACCGUUCGUAGUUCGGAUUGUA
rnacentral:rRNA from 1 species